rnacentral:rRNA from 1 species
GGUUGAUCCUGCCAGUAGUCAUAUGCUUGUCUCAAAGAUUAAGCCAUGCAUGUCUAAGUAUAAACUGCUUAUACUGUGAAACUGCGAAUGGCUCAUUAAAUCAGUUAUAGUUUAUUUGGUGGUACCUUACUACUCGGAUAACCGUAGUAAUUCUAGGGCUAAUACGUGCGUAAAUCCCGACUUCUGGAAGGGACGUAUAUAUUAGAUAAAAGGCCGACCGAGCUUUGCUCGACCCGCGGUGAACCAUGAUAUCUUCACGAAGCGCAUGGCCUUGUGCCGGCGCUG